rnacentral:rRNA from 1 species
UACGUAGGGUGCAAGCGUUGUCCGGAAUUAUUGGGCGUAAAGAGCUCGUAGGCGGUUGGGCAAGUCACGUGUGAAAUCUCCACGCUCAAUGUGGAGGCGCCACGUGAGACUGCCCUGACUCGAGUCCGGUAGGGGAGCGUGGAAUUCCCGGUGUAGCGGUGAAAUGCGCAGAGAUCGGGAGGAACACCCGUAGCGAAGGCGGCGCUCUGGGCCGGUACUGACGCUGAGGAGCGAAAGCGUGGGGAGCAAACAGG